rnacentral:rRNA from 1 species
CCUACGGGAGGCAGCAGUAAGGAAUAUUGGUCAAUGGAGGCAACUCUGAACCAGCCAUGCCGCGUGCAGGAUGACGGCCCUAUGGGUUGUAAACUGCUUUUAUACAAGAGAAAACCCUGGUACGUGUACCAGGUUGAUAGUAUUGUAAGAAUAAGCAUCGGCUAACUUCGUGCCAGCAGCCGCGGUAAGACGAAGGAUGCAAGCGUUAUCCGGAUUCAUUGGGUUUAAAGGGUGCGUAGGCGGACUGAUAAGUCAGUGGUGAAAUCUCUUUGCUUAACAAAGAAACUGCCAUUGAUACUGUCGGUCUAGAGUAUAGAUGACGUUGCGGAAUAUGACAUGUAGUGGUGAAAUACUUAGAUAUGUCAUAGAACACCGAUUGCGAAGGCAGCUAACGAAACUAUAACUGACGCUGAGGCACGAAAGUNCGGGGAUCAAACAGGAUUAGAUACCCUGGUAGUCCGCACCGUAAACGAUANAUACUCGUGUUGU